GCCUCAUUGGAUCAGAAGAAAAGCGUCUGUCUUGUAAACAGAAGGUCGCUGGUUCGAUUCCAGCAUAAGGCA
rnacentral:tRNA from 1 species